rnacentral:rRNA from 1 species
CGAACGCUGGCGGCGUGCUUAACACAUGCACGUCGUACGGUAAGGCCCUUUCGGGGGUCCACGAGUGGCGAACGGGUGAGUAACACGUGAGUAACCUGCCCACAACUUUGGGAUAACGCUAGGAAACUGGUGCUAAUACUGGAUAUGUGCUCCUGCUGCAUGGUGGGGGUUGGAAAGCUCCGGCGGUUGUGGAUGGACUCGCGGCCUAUCAGCUUGUUGGUGGGGUAGUGGCCUACCAAGGCGGCGACGGGUAGCCGGCCUGAGAGGGUGACCGGCCACAUUGGGACUGAGAGACGGCCCAGACUCCUACGGGAGGCAGCAGUGGGGAAUAUUGCACAAUGGGCGCAAGCCGGAUGCAGCAACGCCGCGUGCGGGAUGACGGCCUUCGGGUUGUAAACCGCUUUCAGCAGGGACGAAGCUUUUUGUGACGGUACCUGCAGAAGAAGCACCGGCUAACUACGUG